UACGUAGGGUGCAAGCGUUGUCCGGAAUUAUUGGGCGUAAAGAGCUCGUAGGCGGUUUGUCGCGUCUGCUGUGAAAACCCGGGGCUCAACUCCGGGCCUGCAGCCGAUACGGGCAGACUAGAGUUCGGCAGGGGAGACUGGAAUUCCUGGUGUAGCGGUGAAAUGCGCAGAUAUCAGGAGGAACACCGGUGGCGAAGGCGGGUCUCUGGGCCGAUACUGACGCUGAGGAGCGAAAGCGUGGGGAGCGAACAGG
rnacentral:rRNA from 1 species